UACAGAGGUGGCAAGCGUUGUUCGGAAUUACUGGGCGUAAAGGGCGCGUAGGCGGCCAUCUAAGUCAGACGUGAAAUCCCCCGGCUUAACCUGGGAACUGCGUCUGAUACUGGAAGGCUUGAGUAUGGGAGAGGGAUGUAGAAUUCCAGGUGUAGCGGUGAAAUGCGUAGAUAUCUGGAGGAAUACCGGUGGCGAAGGCGGCAUCCUGGACCAUUACUGACGCUGAGGCGCGAAAGCAUGGGGAGCGAACAGG
rnacentral:rRNA from 1 species